GGUCAUGGCUCAGUGGCAGAGUAUCUGCCUUGCAUGCAAAAGGUCCCAGGUUCAAUCCCCAGCAUCUCCA
rnacentral:tRNA from 1 species